UACGGAGGGUGCAAGCGUUAUCCGGAUUCACUGGUUAAAGGGUGCGUAGGCGGGUUGGUAAGUCCGUGGUGAAAUCUCCGAGCUUAACUCGGAAACUGCCGUGGAUACUAUCAAUCUUGAAUAUCGUGGAGGUAAGCGGAAUAUGUCAUGUAGCGGUGAAAUGCUUAGAUAUACAUAGAACACCAAUUGCGUAGGCAGCUUACUACACGAUCAUUGACGCUGAGGCACGAAAGCGUGGGGAGCAAACAGG
rnacentral:rRNA from 1 species